UGCAUGAAGUUGGAAUCGCUAGUAAUCGCGGAUCAGCAUGCCGCGGUGAAUACGUUCCCGGGCCUUGUACACACCGCCCGUCACACCAUGAGAGUCGGGAACACCCGAAGUCCGUAGCCUAACAGCAAUGGGGGCGCGGCCGAAGGUGGGUUCGAUAAGUGGGGUGAAGUCGUAACAAGGUACC
rnacentral:rRNA from 1 species